GCCCAGAUUGCUCAGUCAGUAGAGGAUAAGACUUUUAAUCUAAUGGUCCAGUGUUCAAGUCCUUGUUUGGGCG
rnacentral:tRNA from 1 species